rnacentral:rRNA from 1 species
UACGAAGGGUGCAAGCGUUACUCGGAAUUACUGGGCGUAAAGGGUGCGUAGGUGGUUGUUUAAGUCUGCUGUGAAAGCCCCGGGCUCAACCUGGGAAUGGCAGUGGAUACUGGACAGCUAGAGUGCGGUAGAGGGUAGUGGAAUUCCCGGUGUAGCAGUGAAAUACGUAGAGAUCGGGAGGAACACCAGUGGCGAAGGCGGCUACCUGGACCAGCACUGACACUGAAGCACGAAAGCGUGGGGAGCAAACAGG